GUUCGUAGAAGAUUUGGUAUUUGAUAUUCGAGAUUCAAAUUCGAAUUUUAGUUGAUUCACAUUUUCAACUAAAUUUAUUUUUAAAUAAAAUAAACUUAAUAGGUAGCGUGCUAUCUAUCUCUUAAAAAAAAAAAAAAUAGUUCACUUGCGUCUCCCGCGGUUCCUAGCAUAAUUAGUUAAAAAUUUAAUGCUCGGUAAUAGAAAUUUUAAAUUUAUUAUUUAAUUAUUUUAUAUUUCUAACUAAUUUAAUU
rnacentral:lncRNA from 1 species